GAUGAACGCUGGCGGCGUGCCUAAUACAUGCAAGUCGAGCGAACAGACGAGGAGCUUGCUCCUCUGACGUUAGCGGCGGACGGGUGAGUAACACGUGGAUAACCUACCUAUAAGACUGGGAUAACUUCGGGAAACCGGAGCUAAUACCGGAUAAUAUAUUGAACCGCAUGGUUCAAUAGUGAAAGACGGUUUUGCUGUCACUUAUAGAUGGAUCCGCGCCGCAUUAGCUAGUUGGUAAGGUAACGGCUUGCCAAGGCAACGAUGCGUAGCCGACCUGAGAGGGUGAUCGGCCACACGGGAACUGAGACACGGUCCAGACUCCUACGGGAGGCAGCAGUAGGGAAUCUUACGCAAUGGGCGAAAGCCUGACGGAGCAACGCCGCGUGAGUGAUGAAGGUCUUCGGAUCGUAAAGCUCUGUUAUUAGGGAAGAACAAAUGUGUAAGUAACUAUGCACGUCUUGACGGUACCUAAUCAGAAAGCCACGGCUAACUACGUG
rnacentral:rRNA from 1 species